rnacentral:rRNA from 1 species
GACGAACGCUGGCGGCGUGCUUAACACAUGCAAGUCGAACGGAAAGGCCCUGCUCUUGUGGGGUGCUCGAGUGGCGAACGGGUGAGUAACACGUGAGUAACCUGCCCUUGACUUUGGGAUAACUUCAGGAAACUGGGGCUAAUACCGGAUAGGAGCUCCUGCUGCAUGGUGGGGGUUGGAAAGUUUCGGCGGUUGGGGAUGGACUCGCGGCUUAUCAGCUUGUUGGUGGGGUAGUGGCUUACCAAGGCUUUGACGGGUAGCCGGCCUGGGAGGGUGACCGGCCACAUUGGGCCUGAGGUAGGGCCCAGACUCCUACGGGCGGCAGCAGGGGGGAAUAUUGCACAAUGGGCGGGCGCGUGAUGCAGCAACGCCGCGUGCGGGAUAACGGCCUUCGGGUGGAAAACCGCUUUGGCCUGUAACGAAGCGUGAGUGACGGUAAUGGGUAAAGAAGCACCGGCUAACUACGUG